GUGAGAAAAAAGCUACAGAAGGGAUAAUGUAUUAAAAAUUGUGUUUGAAUUUGGUUUGGUUUUAUGUAUAUGAGCAUGAUUUUAUUACUGAAGUUAUAGAAAUGCAAGAUAUUGUUGAGUCUUUUUAUUUUUAAUAAAUUU